rnacentral:lncRNA from 1 species
CAAUCAAAUUUGGUCCUCGCAAAGCUGCCCUUGCUGAAACAGCUUCUCUCGAUUCUGACCGACAGCUCCGUUGCCUGGCCUCUCUCACACAGCCUUUCCUUUCUUCACAGUUUUUUCGGCCCCACUGCUUGGAAGGAAGAAAGCCCAAUGGUGGCUGGACAUGGCGAAAUGUUUCCACCUUGUACGGGCUGUCGUUGCUUGCAGUUGUAUGCUGGGUUCCCUGCUGGCAAGGCAAGAGCCGGGUCAAUGCAAAACAUGCAUGCCUUCUUCUCGGGUGCAAUAGGCCUUCUGUUCAAAGAAGAAGAUCAAUCCCUGCUGCUCUGAGGAAAGGUCGAUGCUCGCAAUCAGGGAGUUGAACACGUGUGUGGUGCAGAACAGCAGCAACGCGCACCUUCAGUGGGGACCGUCUCCUAGUUCGCGUUCAUACAGUGCCUGGCGCGACGAUUCGGAUCUAAAUGGGACAAACGAGAGAUGCCAGGGAGAGCAAGGGGAGCCAACCAAAACAAAGGCCUCCUGAGGAAUCCCUAAUGCAAUAAAGGUGGGUUGCCCGUUCUCCCUUCCA